GACGAACGCUGGCGGCGUGCUUAACACAUGCAAGUCGAACGGAACGGCCCUGCUUUUGUGGGGUCCUCUAGUUGCGACCUGGUGACUAACACUUGGGUACCCUGCCCUUCACUUUGGGAUAACUUCAGGCCACUGGGUCUAAUACCGGAUAGGAUCUCCUGCUUCAUGGUGGGCGUUGGUAGGUUUCGCCAGUUGGGGAUGGACUCGCCGCUUAUCAGAUUGUUGGUGGGGUAGUGUCUUACCAUGGCCUUGACCGGUAGCCGUGCUGCGAGGGGGACCGGCCAAAUUGGGACGGAGAUAAGGCACAGACCCGUAUGGGAGGCAACAGUGCAGAAUGUUGUACAAUGGGCGGAAGGCAGACGCAGCAACGCAGCGCGCGGGAUGACGGCAUUCGGGUAGGAAACCGCAUCCGCCUGUCACGAAGCGUGAGUGACGGUAAUGGGUAAAGAAGCACCGGCUAACUACGUG
rnacentral:rRNA from 1 species